rnacentral:lncRNA from 1 species
AAAAUCAAGCAAGUUCACUUGAACACCACAAAACUUCCAUCUCUGAUUUCUCUCAAUCUAGAAAUCUAGAGUGGAAUUGAGUGGCAUAGGAGUGAUGUACAUCACUCCACCUUUCGUUUGGUACCUGGAUCGUUCAUUUUAAUGCACAUUUGUUUCUCUGUAAUUUCUGAUCUCUGCCGGAGCUAGCCGGAGAAGACGGUGGCACUGGCCACCGUCUGUUUUCC